UGAGAGCCUGGAAGUUGAGGUGUC
rnacentral:piRNA from 1 species